rnacentral:rRNA from 1 species
GAUGAACGCUGGCGGCGUGCCUAAUACAUGCAAGUCGAGCGAACAGACGAGGAGCUUGCUCCUCUGACGUUAGCGGCGGACGGGUGAGUAACACGUGGAUAACCUACCUAUAAGACUGGGAUAACUUCGGGAAACCGGAGCUAAUACCGGAUAAUAUAUUGAACCGCAUGGUUCAAUAGUGAAAGACGGUUUUGCUGUCACUUAUAGAUGGAUCCGCGCCGCAUUAGCUAGUUGGUAAGGUAACGGCUUACCAAGGCGACGAUACGUAGCCGACCUGAGAGGGUGAUCGGCCACACUGGAACUGAGACACGGUCCAGACUCCUACGGGAGGCAGCAGUAGGGAAUCUUCCGCAGUGGGCGAAAGCCUGACGGAGCAACGCCGCGUGAGUGAUGAAGGUCUUCGGAUCGUAAAACUCUGUUAUUAGGGAAGAACAAAUGUGUAAGUAACUAUGCACGUCUUGACGGUACCUAAUCAGAAAGCCACGGCUAACUACGUG